GAUGAAGAACGCAGCGAAAUGCGAUAAGUAAAGUGAAUUGCAGAAUUCAGUGAAUCAUCGAAUCUUUGAACGCACAUUGCGCCCGCCAGUAUUCUGGCGGGCAUGCCUGUUCGAGCGUCAUUUCAACCAUCAAGCCCCAGGCUUGUGUUGGGGACCUGCGGCUGCCGCAGGCCCUGAAAACCAGUGGCGGGCUCGCUGUCACACCGGGCGUAGUAGAUUUUAUCUCGCUCAGGGCGUGCUGCGGGUUCCGGCCGUUAAAAAGCCUUUUUUACCCAAGGUUGACCUCGGAUCAGGUAGGAAGACCCGCUGAACUUAAGCAUAUCAAUAAGCGGAGGA
rnacentral:misc_RNA from 1 species